AGCAAAUAGAAUAAAAUAAAGGAUUUUUUGUGACAAACUACCUAUUACAGUCCAUAAAUUGCAAGAAACUACCUAAAAACUGUUGUAAUUAACUACCUAUCAAAGUGUAAAAUGUUGUAAUUGACUACCUCUCACAGGAUUCUCAGCCUUGACUUUUUUUCACCGGGGUUACCACAAUCAACCGCCAUUACCAAUCACCAAUUCAAGCCUCUGCUCCAUCGCAUACACCAAGCAUCACCCACAACACAAACCGUAGCCCCAGACAUCUCCCUUCUCUUGCCCACAACAAGACAACACCAGCAACUGCUGCCACCACUCACCACCAGCAAUCAACUCCAGCUCGCAUCACAGCCACAGCUCCCACUCAUCCGCCACCCUGCAAUAAGCGCACCUCCAUUGCAGUAGCCCCAUCUCCACCUCUCGCAACUAAAUGCCACUACUCACCACCCACACCACAACUCUCAACCCCGACCACCCCAACGGCCACAAAACCACCAUUGCCGCCCAACAAUAGGCCAAAAAUCAAAGCAAAGCAAGAAGUCCGUCCAGUGACGAAUUCAACCCUUAUGACCCCCAAAAUUCUUAAUUUUACUUUGUAUCUCCAAUCUUUGAGGGUUUCUGUGUCCCUCAGGAGAGUUACGUCACUAUGUCUGGAUUUUGGGAGCUUGUACCUGUAAAACAACGGAGACUCCGGUUGGGUGGAGUUCUGCCUCCGAUGAUCAAGUUAGAACCAGUUGAAGAAUGUAAAAAGGUGCGGAAAGUAAAGUGAGAUCUUCUCGAAUUCCGAGAUCAGGCCGAGCCCUCGGAUGUCCAGAAACAAUUACACAUGCCUUUUUUUUCAAUUUUUUUUUUUUUUUUUUUUUUUUUUUUUUUUUUUUUUGGUUUUUUAAAGUUCAAAGUCUGUAUUUGUAUUUAAGCCAAGAUGGAAGUUCAAAUAUUGAGAUAACUAGUGUGAUUCUUGGCAUAAGGUCGUUAAAUCAUUAAAGGUACGCAUGAAUAUCAUUCUCUCUAUGCAGAGAAAGUAAAUUGGUAAGCUUGAUUUUCAUGUUAA